GGCGUAGGCGGAGAUGUAAGCCAGACGUGAAAGCCCGGGGCUCAACCCCCGGAAUAGCAUUUGGAACUACAUUUCUUGAGGAUAGGCGGAGAAAACGGAAUUCUGCAUGUAGCGGUGAAAUGCGUAGAUAUGCAGAAGAACACCGGUGGCGAAGGCGGUUUUCUAGCUUAUUCCUGACGCUGAGGCCCGAAAGCUAGGGGAGCGAACA
rnacentral:rRNA from 1 species